rnacentral:rRNA from 1 species
ACACUAGUACGAGAGGACCGUGUUGGACAUACCUCUGGCGUACCGGUUGUUCCGCCAGGAGCACCGCCGGGUACCCAAGUGUGGAUUGGAUAAGCGCUGAAAGCAUCUAAGCGCGAAGCCAGCCCCGAGAUAAGAUAUCCCUGAGGGCCGUCGCAGACGACGACGUGGAUAGGCCGCAGGUGUGAGGGUAGCGAUAUCCCAGCCGAGCGGUACUAAUAGCCCGAGACUUUCCGCCGA